GAUGAACGCUGGCGGCGUGCCUAAUACAUGCAAGUCGAGCGAAUGGAUUGAGAGCUUGCUCUUAUGAAGUUAGCGGCGGACGGGUGAGUAACACGUGGGUAACCUGCCCAUAAGACUGGGAUAACUCCGGGAAACCGGGGCUAAUACCGGAUAACAUUUUGAACCGCAUGGUUCGAAAUUGAAAGGCGGCUUCGGCUGUCACUUAUGGAUGGACCCGCGGCGCAUUAGCUGGUUGGGGAGGUAACGGCUCACCAAGGCAACGAUGCGUAGCCGACCUGGGAGGGUGAUCGGCCACACUGGGACUGAGACACGGCCCAGACUCCUAUGGGAGGCAGCAGUAGGGAAUCUUCCGCAAUGGACGAAAGUCUGACGGAGCAACGCCGCGUGAGUGAUGAAGGCUUUCGGGUCGUAAAACUCUGUUGUUAGGGAAGAACAAGUGCUAGUUGAAUAAGCUGGCACCUUGACGGUACCUAACCAGAAAGCCACGGCUAACUACGUGCCAGCAGCCGCCGUAA
rnacentral:rRNA from 1 species